UGUGUCAGCAGCCGCGGUAACACGUAGGGGGCGAGCGUUGUCCGGAAUUACUGGGCGUAAAGGGCGCGUAGGCGGCCUAACAAGUCAAAUGUGAAACCCCUGGGCUUAACCCUGGGCUUGCAUUAGAAACUGUUGGGCUUGAGGACAGGAGAGGAAAGCGGAAUUCCCAGUGUAGCGGUGAAAUGCGUAGAUAUCAGGAGGAACACCCGUGGCGAAGGCGGCUUCCUGGCCAUAUCCUGACGCUGAGGUGCGAAAGCCAGGGUAGCGAACGGGAUUAGAUACCCCGGUAGUCCUGGCUAUAAACGAUGGAUACUAGGUGUUAGAGGUAUCGACCCCUCUAGUGCCGCAGCUAACGCAUUAAGUAUCCCGCCUGGGGAGUACGACCGCAAGGUUGAAACUCAAAGGAAUUGACGGGGGCCCGCACAAGCGGUGGAGCAUGUGCUUUAAUUCGAUGCAACGCGAAGAACCUUACCUGGGCUUGACAUGGGGGUGAAACUCUGUAGAGAUAUGGAGCCUUCCGCAAGGAACACCCCACACAGGUGCUGCAUGGUUGUCGUCAGCUCGUGUCGUGAGAUGUUAGGUUAAGUCCUGCAACGAGCGCAACCCUCGCCCUUAGUUGCCAUCAUUAAGUUGGGCACUCUAACGAGACUGCCGGUGACAAAUCGGAGGAAGGUGGGGACGACGUCAAAUCAUCAUGCCCCUUAUGUCCUGGGCUACACACGUACUACAAUGGCGGUGACAAAGGGAAGCAAGACCGCGAGGUGGAGCAAAUCCCCAAAAGCCGUCCCAGUUCGGAUUGCAGGCUGCAACUCGCCUGCAUGAAGUCGGAAUUGCUAGUAAUGGCAGGUCAGCAUACUGCCGUGAAUACGUUCCCGGGCCUUGUACACACCGCCCGUCACACCAUGAGAGCUGACAACACCCGAAGUCGGUAGCUUAACCGUAAGGAGGGCGCCGCCGAAGGUGGGGUUGGUGAUUGGGGUGAAGUCGUAACAAGGUAACCA
rnacentral:rRNA from 1 species